rnacentral:rRNA from 1 species
AUGUUGCAGACCUUUUCUGGUUACAUGGCACAGAAGCAUCCGAUAUCUGUGAUCACAGAUGGGGACCUUGCAAUGCAGAGAGCAAUCAGGGUGGUCUGGCCAGACUCAAACCAUAGACUAUGUAUAUGGCACAUUCAGCAGAACAUUGUACACCAUUUGCAUGAUGAUGACGUAAAGGAGGAAUUCAGAUCUUUCAUUUAUGAUACUUCUUCCAUUGAAGAGCAUGAGAUAGAAUGGAUACAAUUCUUACAACGGAAUAAAGUAACCAGUGAGGAGUCUUGGCUGCAUCAGAUGUAUCAGAUGAGAAAGUUGUGGUGUGCUCCAUAUCUUGAGGGGCGUUGUUUCCUAGGAUUGAGCAGCAAUCAGAGGAGUGAGAGCUUGAACUCUGUGCUACAUACGCAUCUUGAGGGUAAGAUGUCGUUAUUUGAAAUGCUAGAGCACUAUGAGUGUUGCCUUGCGUCGCGACGGAUUAACGAAGCUCUCCAAGACGUCGAAGCCUUGCAGUCCGUUCCAUUUACAGAGGAAAAUGCUUCGCCGCUUGAGAAACACGCCGCAACAGUUUUC